rnacentral:tRNA from 1 species
GCUGGUGUGGCGGAAUCGGCAGACGCAAGGGACUUAAAAUCCCUCGGUGGCAACACCGUGCCAGUUCAAGUCUGGCCACCAGCACCA